rnacentral:lncRNA from 1 species
UAAGAUUAAGUUUCCGGCGAAGUAAACGACAUAGUUUAAGCUAAACCCUAAACGGCGUAGUUUUAUGUCUAUUUAGGGAAUUAAAUGCAAUCCAAUCGAAAAAUUGAGGGCAAAAUCAAAUUAGGGUUCUUGAGAAAAACAUACCAAAUCCAUGUCUUCGUCUUCAUCAUCCCGUCGGAACUUCGCCUCCGCCACCGUCAUCUGUUACCAUUGCUCUCUCCGACCUCAAAUCUCUUCUCCACCCCUCUGCCACCGCCCUCUGAUCCCUCCCAACACCAAUCCAUGCAGAAACCUCCACCGCCGCUGCUACCUUCGUCCCCUGCCCUUUCAACACUAACCACUGAGUGCGCCGAUUUCAAUGAAGAACCUUGGCCGGAAGCUGUCGCGC